rnacentral:rRNA from 1 species
UAGGGAAUCUUGCGCAAUGGGCGAAAGCCUGACGCAGCGACGCCGCGUGAGGGAUGAAGGCCUUCGGGUUGUAAACCUCUUUCAGCGGGGACGAAGCCCUUUGGGUGACGGUACCCGCAGAAGAAGCCCCGGCCAACUACGUGCCAGCAGCCGCGGUAAUACGUAGGGGGCGAGCGUUGUCCGGAUUUAUUGGGCGUAAAGAGCGCGUAGGCGGCCGUUCACGUCGGAUGUGAAAGCUCAAAGCUCAACUUUGAGAGGCCAUUCGAUACGGAACGGCUAGAGGCAGCUAGGGGAGAGUGGAAUUCCUGGUGUAGCGGUGAAAUGCGCGGAUAUCAGGAGGAACACCGGUGGCGAAGGCGGCUCUCUGGGGCUGUUCUGACGCUGAGGCGCGAAAGCUGGGGGAGCAAACAGG